UGAGAACGGAUCUGCGUCUGUCAUCAAUGGCACUCACUCUGUCUUCAACAUUUCUGGUAUACAGACAACAGAUGCGGGACAAUGGUCAUGUGAAACUAUUCUUAAUGAAGUUGAGACAUGUAUUUUAACAGUUGCAAAAACACCAACAUGCAGCAUCACCAGUCAGGGGGACACUGAUGUACUUGCCCAGUAUCAGGCGCUGACACUCACAGUGGACAUACAAGAGUACUACUGUUCCACAGCUCUCACCUUCUCACUCCAGACCGGGAAUGUGACAACACUGCUGAUGGAAGCUGACUCUGUAUCAAGUGUUUCUCACAACACUUCAUCAGUAACCCUGAAUGUGACGGACUCCCACCUGGGGGUUGUAAGACUGAUAUUUAGCUGUCACAACAAGCGGUCGAGUCUACCUUGUGAUGGAGUCACUGAACUCAAAACAACUGAUGCUCCAGGAAAUGAUGAACCACGCACACCAUCAACUCUCAUUAUCAUUGUUGCCGUUGUUUGUGCAAUCGUGUUUCUCGUCAUCAUCAUCAUCAUUGUAUGUGUCGUCAAAAGAAAACAGGUAAAUUAAAUAAAACAACAAUCGCCAGUUAAUCCUCAUCGUCCUCCGCAUAUAAAUGUUGGGCAACUUGGAGGUGCAGAUUAUGCUACUGUGGAAGUGCAUCGUGUGGCAUGACUCUGUUAACAAGACGACAAGGGCAUGCUCGUGGAUAAUGAUGACACAUCAUUACAUUGUUGAUUUAAUUUUGUAAGAGAGCGAUUACAUUUUGUUCUGAUUUAAGUUUUGUAUUUUAAAAGUGAUUCUCCGUUAACGUAGACGGUAUCACCCAGAGAGAUAAUUCAUUUAAAAAAAACAAUAAUCAUCAAACAGUAUCUUAGCUCCAUGUUAGAAUGUUGAGAUGUGAUUAGUUUACGUGGUCAUGAUAAAAUGCUACGUAGUCCGCGGGAGCGGGAGAAUAAAUCUCAUGAACCCCGCUACGAAGCCACAAGUUAUACGUUGUGUUCGAGUCAUUGAAAUUCACGUCGCACAAUACAAGUAAACCUCAGUUUGAUCAAACAGUUGUUUUCCCUCAAUUUUCAAAUUUGUUUUUAAUUAGUUUCCAACGGCAGAUUGAAACAUUGUUGUUGUAAUGGCUUUUACACUAUUCGCAAUGUUUUAUACCACGGGCCGAAGGCUCUACUAAUAACAUGCCCAUCCACAGUGUAAUUAUCGAUCCUAAAGAAGCAGGGUUACCAGAAUAAAGCGAAUUUUGUUUGAUACAUAAAAUGUGUUUUUGUGUUCAGCCCACUGUUUUACUUCUUUUCACAACAUUUUGUUUUCCUUUACAUCAAGCAUGAAAAAAUAAGUUGGAUAUAAUCUGAGGCAAUGUUUUUGGUCCAUUUUAUUUCUGAUACGUAUUAUUUGUAUUAAAGCCCAGCACUAUUACAAUAAUAAAUUGUACUCCCUGUGAGGUCACUGGUUAGA